AUGUUAUUCCACAUUUUUUUUCCUCAAAUCAGGUAGGACUACCCGCUGAACUUAAGCAUAUCAAUAAGCGGAGGAAAAGAAACCAACAGGGAUUGCCUCAGUAACGGCGAGUGAAGCGGCAAAAGCUCAAAUUUGAAACCGCUCUAUAGCGGGUUGUAAUUUGAAGAUUGUAUUCUGGUUACGACCACACCUAUGUUCCUUGGAACAGGACGUCACAGAGGGUGAGAAUCCCGUGCGGUGUGGCCCCCGUAUCCUUAUAGAAUACUCUCGACGAGUCGAGUUGUUUGGGAAUGCAGCUCAAAGUGGGUGGUAAAUUCCAUCUAAAGCUAAAUAUUGGCGAGAGACCGAUAGCGAACAAGUACAGUGAUGGAAAGAUGAAAAGCACUUUGAAAAGAGAGUGAAACAGUACGUGAAAUUGUUGAAAGGGAAGGGCAUGCCGUCAGAUUGCCAGUAUCGAUUGAUGGGGAGCGAAAAAAACUUGGGAAUGUGGCCUUCGGGUGUUUAUAGACCAAGCGAUAUAGCUCCAUCGUCGAUCGAGGA
rnacentral:rRNA from 1 species